CCUCUAGAGGUUAGCUUUGAAGUUGAACUUCCCUAGCCGUGUUUUGUCAGGGAUACUUGAUUGCCUGUUUUCUGUUUCUAUAAAAAUAUAUGAUUUAGUUUCAAUCUUUAUCAAGACUUACAAGAAAACAGAAGUUAUUAAAAGAAAAGUGGAUUAAUGGCGUUCCAUACGAGAAAGAUUAAAAAUCUAAGCAAAGCAUAUUACCUGAGAGGCAAUCCAAACUGAACUCAAUGGUGAGACAAAUUGAAGAUGGCCUGGAAGAGCGAGUCUACUGCAUAUGCUAUAGCGUGCCAGCAGAUUUUAUGAUUCAAUUAUUCAUAUGACUACUGUGAGGAACGGUACCAUAGAAAUUGAAUAGAUACUACUCUGAAGGUAUCCUGCUUCACCGAAAAGUUUUCUGUCCAAUAGGAGUGCAGGCAAAGGGAUCCUAGCUUAGCUAUUGAAUGCAAGCAGAAAAACUGGAACAGGUAGGGAAGAAAGAGUAAGUAGUCUUCCUCAAAAUAUACCCACUGUGGUGAAUGCAUUGUGGGUUAUCAUGUAGAUAACUUCACAGGUGUGACUCUUGUCAAUCAAAAUUACAUAGAAAGGAAGGAAAUUCAAUAAGUAAAAUUGAUUAUGAGAAUAAGGUAAGUACAUUUCUCUGAAACUUGCAUAAGCAUUAAAGCUGUUUCUAAUUCUUCAAAUGUUAACUGCAAUCUUUCAUUAGGCCCAAUUUACACCGGGAUUGAAUUUUUCUAAUAAGAAGUUUAGGUAACAUGUGACAAGGAUGAUUCUUCAUAUGUCAUACUGAUGUCUUGUAGGCAAUCAUCAAAUAGAUCCAAUGGGAAUAGUGCUUCAGAAUGAUUGGCAAGGGUCAAGCUGAGUUUAACUUUGAUUUUCACAGGACAACUGAGAAUGUGUUGUCAGUACAUUUCUAUGCAGGUUGCAUAACCUGUUAACAAAACUGUCUGUUUCCAGUUUUUCUAGGCAGCUUCUAGACUUAUUUCACGUUUCACCUGAUGAUUCAUCCAUUUAAGCAGAACUCCCCUAAAAAAAAAAAAGAAAACAAAUGCACUUGUUCUGCAGUCUUUAGUCCACGCUGAAAAAUGUCAUCACCGUAAUUCCUCAUCUUC